UUGCCUUAGUAACUGCGAGUGAAGCGGCAAAAGCUCAAAUUUGAAAUCUGGCGUCUUCGGCGUCCGAGUUGUAAUUUGUAGGGAUAUCUCUCGGGGUAUGAGCCGCGUGAAGUUCCUUGGAAGAGGGCAUCAUAGAGGGUGAGAAUCCCGUAUGCGCGUGGCUUCCAGCCCCAAGUAGAGUGUCUCCGACGAGUCGAGUUGUUUG
rnacentral:rRNA from 1 species